rnacentral:rRNA from 1 species
UACGUAGGGUGCGAGCGUUAAUCGGAAUUACUGGGCGUAAAGUGUGCGCAGGCGGCCGAGCAAGUCGAGUGUGAAAGCCCCGAGCUUAACUUGGGAACUGCGCUCGAAACUACUUGGCUAGAGUGUGGCAGAGGGAGGUGGAAUUCCACGUGUAGCGGUGAAAUGCGUAGAGAUGUGGAGGAACACCGAUGGCGAAGGCAGCCUCCUGGGCCAACACUGACGCUCAUGCACGAAAAGCGUGGGGGAGCAAACAGG